AUUGAACGCUGGCGGCAGGCUUAACACAUGCAAGUCGAGCGAGCGGCGGACGGGUGAGUAAUGUCUAGGAACCUGCCUGAUGGAGGGGGAUAACUACUGGAAACGGUAGCCAAUACCGCAUACCAUCAGAUUUUCCCAGCUGGGAUUAGCUAGUAGGUGGGGUAAUGGCACACCUAGGCGAAGAUCCCUAGCUGGUCAGAGAGGAUGACCGGCCACACUGGAACGGAGACACGGUCCAGACUCCUACGGAAGGGAGCAGUAGGUAAUAUUGGGCAAUGGGCGCAAGCCUGAUGCAGCCAGGCCGCGGGUGUGAAGAAGGCCUUCGGGUUGUAAAGCACUUUAAGCGAGGAAGCGUUACUCAAAGAAGAAGCAGCGGCUAACUCCGUGCCAGCAGCCGCGGUAAUUC
rnacentral:rRNA from 1 species